rnacentral:lncRNA from 1 species
AUUGAAUUAAUUUUUUGUGGGUACAUCUGUAAUUCGUGAGACCAUUCUACAUUGUUCGAUAUGAAAGGAAUUCAAAGAAGAUGUAAUACAGGUAAUUAUCGGUAAAUCAGGAAAUAAAUUUACGAACGAGGGAACAGUAAACAAUGUGAAAAAUCCCACGGUUCAAUAAGGAAAGCAAACGUACAAAUGGUUAUGCAAACCUGCACGUAAUCUAAGAAAUCUGUCAAGCGAUACAAUCGCGUGAUGAUUAUCGCGAAAACCGCAAUUCAUCGUUGCGCGAAGAGCGAGUAGCACAUACAGUUGCGUGGGAAAAUUUUCGCUUGAUGUUUUAAAUGAGAUAUCUGAAACAAGUUUCAACUAAUAUUGGAUUUCGGAUAUUCCAGCUAAAAGUGUAAGGAACAUGCACGGAAUGUAGAAAUGCGAGUCCGGCGCUGCUUAAACAACAAGAAGGAAAGAAAGAAAAAAAGAAGGAGGACAUGGGAUAUACAAUGGUGACUCUGAGAUCUUCACCGAUCCAAAGGUGUAGCAUAACGUUACGGUGCUCGUGACAAAUCAUCCUUGAACACCUUGUACUCUUCACGAAUCGCAGAUAAGAAAUAUUAUACAAAUAAAACUAACGAAGAAAAACGGAACUAUCGAACCUCGAAAUUCAGUGUUGUACUCAGACGAAAGUAAAUUUAAUAUAUUAUAAUCCAAUAAUUUAUAACGAUUAUGUGUUUCUUAGUAGGAAAAAAAUAUAAUAUUGCUAUAAAUUUGAAAUAUUUGCAAUUUCUUAUAAAGCGCGACGAUUGUGUGUGUGUUUAUUGCAUAUAGAAAUAUAUGAAACAUAUCUAUCUAUCUAUCGAACGAAAAAUCUUACAAAAAGAUUGCAAGGACUAUUUAUACAAGUUAUACAAUAACAGGGAAGAUUAUAAGAAGGAUAGGAAAGACGAAUAGAAAACGAAGCAGAUUAAGAUAAAAAGAAACUAUAAAAUUUAUCAUAAAGAAACGUUACGUCAUUAGAGGAAGUAGUGAAAUUUAAGAUAAGGGUUCCUGGAGUAAAUAUAUUCUUUUUGAAAUGAAACGCGUUUCCAAUGAAACAAUUGCAAAAGUAUUAUAAAGUAGCUCGUAUAAUAAUCCGUGUGAAAGAAGGCGAAGAAAAAAUGGGAAAAUAUUUAAAAUGCAACGGAAGAUAACGUAAAUAUUCUACAUUUACUAAUAAAUCAAAAUGAUUUAGCAAAUUUUAAAACGUAAUGAACAAGUUUUAAUAAAUAAUAGGUAACAGUCUAAUAUAGGGUGUAUAUUGAAAUUGAAUGAAAGCAUGUGUGAGAAAUCUACAUAGAUCAAUAUCAUCUUGUAGUCGACAGGCAAAAAUUAAUAAAAUAUAUGUAUAAUACAUAAUGAGUAAUAUUAAUUGCGUAAUUU